rnacentral:rRNA from 1 species
GACGAACGCUGGCGGCGUGCUUAACACAUGCAAGUCGAACGGUAAGGCCCUUCGGGGUACACGAGUGGCGAACGGGUGAGUAACACGUGGGUGAUCUGCCCUGCACUUCGGGAUAAGCCUGGGAAACUGGGUCUAAUACCGGAUAGGACCACUGCCUACAUGGGUGGUGGUGGAACGCUUUUGCGGUGUGGGAUGGGCCCGCGGCCUAUCAGCUUGUUGGUGGGGUGAUGGCCUACCAAGGCGACGACGGGUAGCCGGCCUGAGAGGGUGACCGGCCACACUGGGACUGAGAUACGGCCCAGACUCCUACGGGAGGCAGCAGUGGGGAAUAUUGCACAAUGGGCGCAAGCCUGAUGCAGCGACGCCGCGUGAGGGAUGACGGCCUUCGGGUUGUAAACCUCUUUCAGCACCGACGAAGCGCAAGUGACGGUAGGUGCAGAAGAAGGACCGGCCAACUACGUGCCAGCAGCCGCCGUAA